AUCUAGCCCUGAUGGGAACGGCAUCCUUUUGCUUUUCUUUAAAAGCAAAAGAUACAGUGGACAGCAGGAAGAUGC
rnacentral:sRNA from 1 species